AUUAUUACUCAAUUAGGUCAGCGCCAUUAUAAUUUAAGCACCCGGCACCAUGCAGAUAAUUAAGCGAGGGCGAAAUGAAAUCAUUUCCAGGCCGCGAAUGAAGUCCUGCCAACGAGACACAACGUCCCGCGACUUGGCCUCGUCCUUUUCCGGAACGGCGCCUCUGCGUUUCCGUUCUGUCUGAGGGCUAGGUCAUUAGGGAUGGUUUGUGUGCAAAUUUGAUUUCACAACAUUUUCGCAGUGUGCGUUGCUCAAACUUUCGGCUUUACGAUGCACAUAAAUUUUACGACCAAGUUCAAGUUGUAAAUAGUUGAUAAACUCGGCUAUCCGUCGAAUCCAAGCCAUAAUGAAGUGACAAGGGGGAAAUAAAGGACCAAUGGAAGAUAGUUAUUAAGCCUUAAAAAACAAACACACUGAAGAAGAGUGUAAAUAUCCCACUUUCAAAUCCGUUUAGAAUUUGUUUUCAUUACUAUUAAAACCCAACCAGACGUCAAAGAUAUAUCUGGGGAGCGUACAACCCCCAGACGCUGUGAUCUAUAAUUCCAUUAAUUUUUGUGAAAGGUGUUCCAAUUGAAACCCAACAGAGACGGAAGCAAUUUGAAUGUCAUUAGGUGUGGCCACGCGGGACGCAGCCAGCCAGGAAGCGAGGCUAAGUAGGAACCACACAAAAAGACAUUCGACUCCAUAUCUGAUUGAAUAAUAAUGAGUGCUUAAGGAUUUAAUGCGCUCCCGGCAGCUGCUGGGCCCCAGACAUCGACUUCAACUUGGGAACAGGCAUGUAGGGAACAUAGCCUGAAAUAAAAGUAGAGCUCUAGUUGCUUGCACCGAAUUAGAGAUACCCGUAGAUUAGUCGCAACCUUUGAGUAUGUAGUACAAUAAAAAACUAGACUAAUUUAUAUAAUUAUAUAAAUAUUUGUUAAACAAUCUAAAACAUCUAAGAAGUGGAGUGCUAUAGUAAUAAAAGGGUAUAAAUAGCUAAA